rnacentral:rRNA from 1 species
GACGAACGCUGGCGGCGUGCUUAACACAUGCAAGUCGAACGGUGAAAGUGGAGCUUGCUCCGCUGGAUCAGUGGCGAACGGGUGAGUAACACGUGGGCAACCUGCCCCUCACUUCGGGAUAACUCCGGGAAACCGGGGCUAAUACCGGAUAUGACCUCCUUGGGCAUCCUUGGAGGUGGAAAGUUUUUCGGUGAGGGAUGGGCCCGCGGCCUAUCAGCUUGUUGGUGAGGUAGUGGCUCACCAAGGCGACGACGGGUAGCCGGCCUGAGAGGGCGACCGGCCACACUGGGACUGAGACACGGCCCAGACUCCUACGGGAGGCAGCAGUGGGGAAUAUUGCGCAAUGGGCGAAAGCCUGACGCAGCAACGCCGCGUGCGGGAUGACGGCCUUCGGGUUGUAAACCGCUUUCAGCAGGGAAGAAGCCGCAAGGUGACGGUACCUGCAGAAGAAGCACCGGCUAACUACGUGCCAGCCGCCGCAGUAA